rnacentral:rRNA from 1 species
UACAGAGGGUGCGAGCGUUAAUCGGAAUUACUGGGCGUAAAGCGUGCGUAGACGGUUAUUUAAGUCGGGUGUGAAAGCCCCGGGCUCAACCUGGGAAUUGCAUUCGAGACUGAAUAGCUAGGGUACGGUAGAGGGAAGUGGAAUUUCCGGUGUAGUGGUGAAAUGCGUAGAGAUCAGGCGGAACACCCGUAGCGAAGGCGGCCAGCUGGGCCGUCCCUGACACUGAGGCGCGAAGGCGUGGGGAGCGAACGGG